UGAAUGUUGAAUUCUGGGAAUCAGAGUGGCGCGAAAGGGACACGAGGAGGACAAUGCCAGGAGCUCGGACCGACUGCAGUGCAGAAUCCAGGGACAUCAGCAUCAUUAUCUGAAAUGAUGCGAUUGAAACAAGAAGAGCCCGCAUACUGAAAGCACUAAUUGUUUACCUCAACGAAGACCCUGGAAACCUCAUAAGGGAGUACCUUGAUGUUGACGACGACCAGACUAGAGAGCAGGCGAUCCUGGGGAUCUUCGCCAUAAAGAGGGAAGGUGCAGAACCCACAGAUGACCUGGAAGAUGAUGGAAUAGUCAUUGAAGGAGUGGAAGUGCUUCACAGCCUUGGUAACAUUGCAGAUGCACUCGCCAUUUUAUUUGGUCUCAUGUACUCAUUGGACUUGAGCUACCCAACAAACCUAAAAUACACAUUUGAGGUUCUACUGAAACUUUUCAUGGAACUGGAUGGAACCCACCUCUCAGCAAAGGCUCAAGUGCUAAAAAACAAACUCUUUGAAGGAACAAUUUAGACAUGACAUUACAUCUGCUGUUUAGAUACAUAUUCAUGUUCAAAGUAAAAGAGAAAUGGCCGUCAAACUUUGAAAAA